rnacentral:rRNA from 1 species
ACUCCUACGGGAGGCAGCAGUGGGGAAUUUUGGACAAUGGGCGAAAGCCUGAUCCAGCAAUGCCGCGUGUGUGAAGAAGGCCUUCGGGUUGUAAAGCACUUUUGUCCGGAAAGAAAUCCUUGGCUCUAAUACAGUCGGGGGAUGACGGUACCGGAAGAAUAAGCACCGGCUAACUACGUGCCAGCAGCCGCGGUAAUACGUAGGGUGCGAGCGUUAAUCGGAAUUACUGGGCGUAAAGCGUGCGCAGGCGGUUUGCUAAGACCGAUGUGAAAUCCCCGGGCUCAACCUGGGAACUGCAGUGGUGACUGGCAGGCUAGAGUAUGGCAGAGGGCGGUAGAAUUCCACGUGUAGCAGUGAAAUGCGUAGAGAUGUGGAGGAAUACCGAUGGCGAAGGCAGCCCCCUGGGCCAAUACUGACGCUCAUGCACGAAAGCGUGGGGAGCAAACAGGAUUAGAAACCCUAGUAGUCCCA